UACGUAGGGUGCGAGCGUUGUUCGGAAUUAUUGGGCGUAAAGGGCUCGUAGGCGGUUUGUCGCGUCGGGUGUGAAAACCUCGGGCUUAACUCGGGGCUUGCUUUCGAUACGGGCAGACUAGAGGUAUGCAGGGGAGAACGGAAUUCCUGGUGUAGCGGUGAAAUGCGCAGAUAUCAGGAGGAACACCGGUGGCGAAGGCGGUUCUCUGGGCAUGAUCUGACGCUGAGGAGCGAAAGUGUGGGGAGCGAACAGG
rnacentral:rRNA from 1 species